GUCAUUCUAGAGACACUUUCCAGUACAUCUACUAUGUUACGACUUAUCUUAUCUUAGAACAAGAGCGACGGGCGAUAUGUACAUAUUUUAGAGCUAAAAUCAAUUUAAUAAUCUUUUUAAAUUUACUAACAAAUCCACCUUCAACCAAAUAUUUCAAUUCAAUAUCCAUAAUAAAUAUUAAAUUUAUUGUAAUCCAUCUAUAACUUAUACAUAAACUGCACCUUGACCUGAUAUUAAUUUUUAUAUAAAAUAUUGAAAAUUAACUUUUUCAAAAAAUCUUCAAUAACGGCGAUAUACAAAUUGAAAAACAAAUAUAAGAAAGGUCCAACGUGGAUUAUCGAUUAAAUGACAGAUUCCUCUGAAUAGACUAAAAUACCGCCAAAUUUUUUAAGUUUCAAGAUUUUAACAAAUACUACUCAAGUUUCAAAAAUUACAAUUUAAAUAAUAGGGUAUCUAAUCCUAGUUUAAUAUUAAAUUUUGCAAGCCUCAAUCAUAAUUUUAAAAAAUAAAAAUUUAAAUUUUAUAAGAUUUAACCCAUCAUAAAAUUUUAAACUAUAUUAUAAAAAAUCAAAAUUUAACUCUAACCAAAAAGAUUUAUUUGAAAACUUUGUAUAACCGCGACUGCUGGCACAAAUUUAGUCAAUCCUACACAUAUUACUAUUUCUAAAAUUACUUAAAUAAAUAAUAUUAAUUACUGCAAAUAAAUUUUUUUACUUCUUUAAACUUUAAGAAUAAAGAGCAACCCCACAAAAAUUUACAUGUAAAAUAAAUAAUUAACAAAUCUUUAAGUCAAAAUAAAACUUUAAU
rnacentral:rRNA from 1 species